GUGGGAUAUUGCUGGGAGCUUCUGGGGUUUUCCUGGGAGGGGUGGGGGGUGUUUUUUUUUUCUUUGUGACAGCCACUGAGAGGAUGGUGUGAUGUUCCUGGAUUGCUUUAUUAGGUGCAGAUUUGUGUGGGCUUCUGUGCCAUUUUGGAGGGUGAAGCCUGCAGUGAGGUGUUCUGCCGCAGGAAUUAGCCCAGUCCUGUGAGAAUCUUCUUCUGAGAGUGGAAGAAGGUGUCUGAGUGCUGGGGACCCUUCUCGUACACGGGAGCUGUAGCUGGGGUGUGCCCUGCACUGUGGCUAGGUUCCCACUUUGCUCCUUCCAGGCCCAUGUGGGGCUGCUUCUUGGCUUCCUUGCUUAUUAGUGCUGCCAUGCUCAAUGCAGUGAGCAGCUCUGGCAGCUGUGACCCUGUGGAGUUAGGUGAAGUCUGCAGCAACAAUUAG
rnacentral:lncRNA from 1 species